CCCAGCACUAAGUCAGCUGCCCAGACAACGUGUCUGGCUCAGUGUUACAGUGCUGGAAGAUGAAGCCUCUGCACAGGUUUCUCAGCUGUGCAGGUUCUGUUUUAGAUUCUGUUGCUGUUGAACGGCUGCAGAGCAUGGCCCAACGAGAGUGGCCUGUCCCGGACACAUGUUGGGGCGGGCCUAGUGCAGGGCCACACAUG